UGGGGAAUUUUGGACAAUGGGCGCAAGCCUGAUCCAGCCAUGCCGCGUGCGGGAAGAAGGCCUUCGGGUUGUAAACCGCUUUUGUCAGGGAAGAAAUCUUCUGAGUUAAUACCUCGGGAGGAUGACGGUACCUGAAGAAUAAGCACCGGCUAACUACGUGCCAGCAGCCGCGGUAAUACGUAGGGUGCAAGCGUUAAUCGGAAUUACUGGGCGUAAAGCGUGCGCAGGCGGUUUUGUAAGACAGAGGUGAAAUCCCCGGGCUCAACCUGGGAACUGCCUUUGUGACUGCAAGGCUUGAGUGCGGCAGAGGGGGAUGGAAUUCCGCGUGUAGCAGUGAAAUGCGUAGAUAUGCGGAGGGACACCGAUGGCGAAGGCAAUCCCCUGGGCCUGCACUGACGCUCAUGCACGAAAGCGUGGGGAGCAAACAGGAUUAGAUACCCUGGUAGUCCACGCCCUAAACGAUGUCAACUGGUUGUUGGGAAGGUUCCUUCUCAGUAACGUAGCUAACGCGUGAAGUUGACCGCCUGGGGAGUACGGCCGCAAGGUUGAAACUUAAAUGAAUUGACGGGGUCA
rnacentral:rRNA from 1 species